AGUCACCCCGUGAGACUUGGAAAACGGAAACAGGCUGACUCCAGAGCCACAAGGCCUCCAAGGAUCACCUUGCUGCAAGCGAUCUUGAUGUUGGGGUUCUUGUUCGCCGAGUCGAAGAAUGAACUUUGCAAACACUCAAGACGUGGAGCCAUGAAGGUGAGACCCUAGAGCUGCCACAGUGGGAGAGUGGUCCAAGAAUGGAGCUCAAACCUGUGAAGUCAGAGCCAGUGAUGGAGAGAGCAUGGUCCUGGAUCCAGCCAUGCCUGCAACCCACAUUAUCCACAUUAUAGUUUUCUGCUAAUGAAUCCAAUGCAUUAAAAAACUUUUUUUUU